rnacentral:rRNA from 1 species
AAUCUUGCACAAUGGGCGAAAGCCUGAUGCAGCGACGCCGCGUGAGCGAAGAAGGUCUUCGGAUCGUAAAGCUCUGUUUUAAGGGAAGAUAAUGACGGUACCUUAAGAGAACGCCCCGGCUAACUACGUGCCAGCAGCCGCGGUAAUACGUAGGGGGCAAGCGUUAUCCGGAAUCACUGGGCGUAAAGGGUGCGUAGGCGGCCAUUAAAGUCAGAGGUUAAAUCCCAGGGCUCAACCCUGGUAAGCCUUUGAAACUUAAUGGCUUGAGUACAGGAGAGGAGAGUAGAAUUCCUAGUGUAGCGGUGAAAUGCGUAGAUAUUAGGAGGAAUACCAGUGGCGAAGGCGACUCUCUGGACUGUAACUGACGCUGAGGCACGAAAGCGUGGGUAGCGAAC